rnacentral:rRNA from 1 species
CGCCUGUUUAUCAAAAACAUGGCCUUUUGUUAAUUGUUUAAGGUCUGGCCUGCUCCAUGACCAUGUUAAAUAGCCGCAGUAUUUUGACUGUGCAAAGGUAGCAUAAUCAUUAGUUUUUUAAUUGAAAGCUGGUAUGAAUGGUUGGAUGAGGAAAUUACUGUCUCAUAUUAAAUUAAUUUGAAUUUUAUUUUUAAGUAAAAAAGCUUAGAUUUAAUAGAAAGACGAGAAGACCCUAUAGAGUUUAAUAAAUUUAUAGCAUUUAUAUAUUAGGUUUUAGAGUUUUUAUUUUUUAUAUAUGCAAAAUUUAUUUUGUUGGGGUGACAUAAGAUUGAAUGAAACUUCUUAAUAUUUAAACACUGUUUAGUGAUUAAUUGAUCCUUUAUUUAAGAUUAAAAGGCAAAAUUACCUUAGGGAUAACAGCGUAAUUUUUUCAGAGAGUUCUAAUCGAUGAAAAGGAUUGCGACCUCGAUGUUGGAUUAAAGUUAAUUCUUGGUGCAGAAGCUAGGAUAUUGAGUCUGUUCGACUCUUAAAACUUUACGUGAUCUGAGUUCAGACCGG